ACGAGGAGCGGCGUUUCCGCGUUUCCACUGUAGACCACAAGGGGGCAGAAGAGGACAAGGAGAAAACCUGGGCGAUGGCGUGGACCCGGGUAGCAGCAAAAUCGGACACUACACUCUCCAAAACGACAUUGUGAAAAAGACAGCGCGGGAGGAACACAGUGAUGAGGGGAGGACUCCGCUAGCCACGGUGAUCCCUCUGGUGUGAACAAUCAUAACUGGUCACCGGCACCAGGUCUGGGGUUGCGCCUACCACUCAGGUGGCACCAGGAGAAGGUGCCUGUUGGUGCAACAAACUGCAUUUGACCCCUGAGAUUCACUCGACCACAGCUGCGUGGUCCUGGGUCAGGUACCACACACCGUCUCUCUUGUGGGAUCCUCUCUUCCUCGGCAGGAGGCUGGGGUCUGAAUUCAAGGCAUCCAUAGCCAUGCUGCCUGCAAAGGAUGCAGGGAAGAACCCCUCCUUGCUUCCCCGAGCUCCUGUGCUGUGUCUCUGUCCCUAACUUCUGACCGUGUUGCCCACUCAUUGGAAAGGUUCACUCUACUUCCAAGGACGCCUCUCAGAUCUGUGAAGAAGCCAUUUCUGGUGAAGCUCACUUUGUGAUUCCGGCAACAGGGUCUGGGAAUGUAGAAACUGGAGGAGUGUGGAGGAGUGCUUGCCUACUACAAGCAAGGCCCUGGGUCCAAGUCCACCAGAAAUAAAAGAAAGCAAGACCACUGAGAACUGUAUGCUGUGUUCCAGAACUUUCUGAGGUUGUUUACAGGUCCUAACAGUCUUCUCACUGAGUGUUCAGGGCCCUUUAUAUGCAUGAUUGCAUCAGCUGCAAACAAACCCAUUCACUCCUCCCUUGACAAUUUCAAUGGCUCUUCAGCGCUUCUACUGUCCAGUUUCUCAGCUAGGACAUCCAGUCCUGAAUGCCGCAGAAGUGGUUAGAGACUUGCACUAGUCCUCCCUUACUGGGGACGUCUUUUCUCCACUGGUGAGAA